UCCCUUGUGGCUCAGCUGGUAAAGAAUCUGCCUGCAAUGCAGGAGACCUAGGUUCCAUCCCUGGGUUGGGAA
rnacentral:tRNA from 1 species